ACCCAGCUGAAACCCCGGGCUGGCUGCCAGGUGCCUCCUCCCGGGGCGGUGGCGGCGAGACGGGGCGGCGCGGCGCCGGGCAUCCUCCAUGCCUCGUGUUGCGGAGGGAGACUCGGCAGCACAGGAAUAAAAAUCUUCAGAAGUGCGCUGUGGGUGCACCAAGAAACGCCCGUGCACUCACGAGUCAGCAUUGAGCGUUUGGGAUUUUUCCAGAGGUGUCUGGUUGAAAAAUUUCUUUCCUAUUCUGGCGUUUAAAAAGGUCGAAACCUUGUUUGCGUCUGCUCGGCAAAGCUGCACCGGCUCCUGCGGCGGCAGCCGCUGGCGUUGGAGCACGUUCACUGCCCUGCCGCGGGGGAUCAGCGCGGUGACCGGGCGCAGCGGCCGCGAUGCUCCUGCUCUCCUUUUUUCCCGGGGCGGCUGCAGCUGCGACGGCGAUGGGCGAGGGCUGCACGUGGCCCACGCGCCCCAAAGCGCGUCCGCACGGAGCUUGCAACGCCCUCGGCCCCAGGACGCGGGCUGUGGUCUAGCCGGAGCCGCCGCCGCGUGCCCUUGCUCCAGCGAAGGUCUGCUGGUCCCUCCCGUGACGGACGAGGUGCCCCUGGUGCCGGGUGCUCGUUGCAGAGCACCUCACCCAGGUUUCUGCGGAUUAAGGAGGCAGAAGCACGAAGGUUUUGCUCGAAGGAGGAGGAGGAGGUGGAGGAAGGCUUCGCAGGGUGGCUGCGUUCCUGGGCCACGCUGAGCCCGGCGCGGGACACCUUCCUGACGGGAUGCAGGCCUGACGCUCCCCUGGGUUAGACGCCAGCUCUCCGGCCGCUCUCCCAGGUGGGACGCGCUUCCUAAUAUCACAAAUACCUUUAAAAACCCAAACCAGGGCCUGGAUUUACACUGCAAUGAUUUUCCAUCCGUUCCCACCCCGGCGGCUGGGAGGCAGUGGGUGCAGCAGCUGCCCCCGCUCCGGCGCCCCGAAAGGAGCUUCCCUAGAAACCACGAGAUUUGCAGCAAACCCAGCAGGAACAGAGGGAAGCGGCAGGUUUCAGGAGAGUGGUGCAUGCUGUCGCUUGGCCAGAUCCCUGCUCGGCCGCCAGCCCCGGCCAGCAGCGAAGCCGUCCCUGCAUCCCACCGCGGUGACGAGCAGCAGCGCGGCCCCCGCACCGUGUUUGCUCCGCGUGCACGACGCCGCUGCAACCUCGGGCCGUCCGCGGCGGUCACGGCCAGCACCGUUCCCAGCGGUCGCGCUUGCCAUACCGAGCAGGCUUUCUUCGCCCGGCCGUCGUAGCCGCGCUGUCCCGCGGAGGGUGAUGGAUUGCUUUCUCGGUUGCGCAUGCUGUUAUCGCCGUGCUGUUCUAAUGCUGCUCAAACACCAUUGUGAAUAGCCAAACUCAAUAGCAGCAGUGUUAGGCUGGAAAGUCAAUAUUGUCUGAGCAAACACAGCGAAUAAAGAGUUGCUAUUUGCGUA